GAGUUUGAUCAUGGCUCAGAUUGAACGCUGGCGGCAGGCUUAACACAUGCAAGUCGAGCGGAAACGAUGGUAGCUUGCUAUCAGGCGUCGAGCGGCGGACGGGUGAGUAACGCGUAGGAAUUUACCCAACAGUGGGGGAUAGCCCGGGGAAACCCGGAUUAAUACCGCAUACACUCUACGGAGUAAAGCAGGGGAUUUAUGGACCUUGCGCUGUUGGAUGAGCCUGCGUGAGAUUAGCUAGUUGGUGAGGUAAAGGCUCACCAAGGCGACGAUCUCUAGCUGGUCUGAGAGGAUGAUCAGCCACACUGGGACUGAGACACGGCCCAGACUCCUACGGGAGGCAGCAGUGGGGAAUAUUGGACAAUGGGGGCAACCCUGAUCCAGCCAUGCCGCGUGUGUGAAGAAGGCCUUCGGGUUGUAAAGCACUUUCAGCGAGGAGGAAGGGGUGUUGCUUAAUACGCGACACUCUUGACGUUACUCGCAGAAGAAGGACCGGCUAACUCCGUGCCAGCAGCCGCGGUAAUACGGAGGGUCCGAGCGUUAAUCGGAAUUACUGGGCGUAAAGCGCGCGUAGGCGGUUAGAUCAGUCAACUGUGAAAGCCCUGGGCUCAACCUGGGAACUGCAGCUGAUACUGUCUGACUAGAGUUUGGUAGAGGAGUGUGGAAUUUCCUGUGUAGCGGUGAAAUGCGUAGAUAUAGGAAGGAACACCAGUGGCGAAGGCGACUUACUGGACCAAUACUGACACUGAGGUGCGAAAGCGUGGGGAGCAAACGGGAUUAGAUACCCCGGUAGUCCACGCCGUAAACGAUGUCUACUAGCCGUUGGGAGACUUGAUCGCUUAGUGGUGCAGCUAACGCAAUAAGUUGACCGCCUGGGGAGUACGGCCGCAAGGCUAAAACUCAAAUGAAUUGACGGGGGCCCGCACAAGCGGUGGAGCAUGUGGUUUAAUUCGAUGCAACGCGAAGAACCUUACCAGGUCUUGACAUCCCGAGAAUUUACUAGAGAUAGUUUAGUGCCUUCGGGAACUCGGUGACAGGUGCUGCAUGGCUGUCGUCAGCUCGUGUCGUGAGAUGUUGGGUUAAGUCCCGUAACGAGCGCAACCCUUGUCCUUAGUUGCCAGCACGUAAUGGUGGGAACUCUAAGGAGACUGCCGGUGACAAACCGGAGGAAGGUGGGGACGACGUCAAGUCAUCAUGGCCCUUACGACCUGGGCUACACACGUGCUACAAUGGCCGGUACAGAGGGUUGCCAAGCCGCGAGGUGGAGCUAAUCCCAGAAAACCGGUCGUAGUCCGAAUUGGAGUCUGCAACUCGACUCCAUGAAGUCGGAAUCGCUAGUAAUCGCGAAUCAGAAUGUCGCGGUGAAUACGUUCCCGGGCCUUGUACACACCGCCCGUCACACCAUGGGAGUAGGUUGCAAAAGAAGUGGGUAGACUAACCUUCGGGAGGUCGCUCACCACUUUGUGAUUUAUGACUGGGGUGAAGUCGUAACAAGGUAGCC
rnacentral:rRNA from 1 species